rfam:Verticillium longisporum isolate VL1 genome assembly, contig: scaffold_6
UUCCGAUUAGUCUAGUGGUUAGGAUAUCGGCUUGUCAUCGCUCUUCAAGGCAGACUCCGCCGGGGACCGGGGUUCAAUUCCCCGAUCGGAAG